AUUCAGUGCCUCCAGCAUUUAGAACUAUUGCUUGAAAACAUCCCAACAAUGUUUCAGAGUAGUACAACUGCUGAGUCAUGUUUUGGUGCUGCAAUCAAGGUACAUAUUAUGCACAGCCUUUUCAACGACUUCUGCAUUAACAGACUGGAGUAGUGUACAAAAAUCUUUUAGACACUUUCAGACUAUUCAAAUCUAUAAUAUUUUUUCCCCUCUGUUUGUAGGUUCAUUGGCAUAUUGUCCUGAUUAGAGUGUACUUUAUAAAGCUUUAAACUUUGCAUUGUCCUUCGAGGUAUUAGAAUUCCUAGUUCAAAACUUAGCAAUUUGUCUUUUAUAAAAGACAUUUGCAUUUUCAGUGUUGUUUAGGUUCGCAAAUAAGAUGCUAUAUUUGGACUUGCUGUUAGUAAAAGACUUGCUGUAUUUUAUUUAUAUUUAUAUUUAAUCUAAUUUUUAUUAUUUAUUUUA